rnacentral:rRNA from 1 species
CUACGGGAUGCACCAGUGGGGAAUAUUGCACAAUGGAGGAAACUCUGAUGCAGCAACGCCGCGUGGAGGAUGACACUUUUCGGAGCGUAAACUCCUUUUAUAUAGGAAGAAGAUGACGGUACUAUAUGAAUAAGCGCCGGCUGAACUCCGUGCCAGCAGCCGCGGUAAUACGGAGGGCGCAAGCGUUACUCGGAAUCACUGGGCGUAAAGAGCGUGUAGGCGGAUUAAAAAGUCAGAAGUGAAAUCCUAUAGCUUAACUAUAGAACUGCUUCUGAAACUCUUAAGCUAGAAUAUGGGAGAGGUAGAUGGAAUUUCUGGUGUAGGGGUAACAUCCGUAGAGAUCAGAAGGAAUACCGAUUGCGAAGGCGAUCUACUAGAACAUUAUUGACGCUGAGACGCGAAAGCGUGGGGAGCAAACAGGAUUAGAUACCCUCGUAGUC